AGCAAGUUAGUAUAAUAAUACCAUUGACUUAGAAUCAAUAAAUAAGCUUAAACACUUACUUGCCA
rnacentral:tRNA from 1 species